GAAGGCUUUUUUGCAGGUUGUUCAUCUUCUUAUUUGGUAAAUAGUUCUUCAGUUGUGUGAACGUUCCUCAGUUUCGGCUCCAAGAAAAGGAGAAGUACCAGCAGAGCACUUCCCCGUAAGUUCAGAGUUCCUCCAUGUUUUUAUUUCGUUCGUCGCCAACAGUUUUCAAUUCCAUGUCUUGCAGUCCGUAAGAGGAUUUAGACUUACCAGAACUGCAAGAACUGCAACAGCGAGCGUAAAUGCCAAAGGUGCCCUGAUUGCUUUAACUACAUCCUCUAGAACAAUAUGGGAAAAUGUCGAAUGUAUGAAUACCCAUGUUAUGACAUGGCGAGCUUUCACAUUGCAAAAGCCUUGAUGUUUAGGGAAACGGUAAUGGAUUAGUUGAUAUUCUGUCGUCUAUGGGACUACAAACUGUCAAUUUGAGCUUACUACUUGAUUAUUUUGAUUCUUCUGUGGGAGAAACAAAAACAAUCUUUUUUGCAGAUUAGUAUUAUUUUUCCUGGCCUGCUAGCCUCCUUCAUUGUAACUUGAUUUCGAUGUGAUAAUUUCGGGGGAAAAAAACUGUUGGUCAUAUGUUGUUCCUUUCCUGCGCUU